GGAAAGAUCUAUUGGAUUGCCUAAACUGCUACAUGAUAUUCAGUUUUAUUUGCAGGUGGACCUGUGCAGUAGAAACCUUCCCCUGUCUGAGUGAAUUGCAACUAGAUGCUCAAAUAUCCCUAUCCAUCCAGGAAGAAGAUGGACACACUGAGUCAAUUCAUGUAAUUGUAGGCACCAAAAAGUUAGACUUAACCUCUCAUGACAGACAGCAGAAUAAAAUGAGUGCUUUAAAGGAAGGAUUGUCUGGCCUAGCUUAUAUCCCAUUUUAGGAUUGUUUGCCCCCUGAGGUAGCCCCUUAAGACCUGCGAAAGGAACCUAGAGUGGUCAUGACUAGCUUUUAGUUGUCUUUAUUCUUUAUUUAGCCCUGCAAGGCUAGG
rnacentral:lncRNA from 12 species